AGUGUAGGCGGUUUGACAAGUCGGAUGUGAAAUCCCGGGGCCCAACCCCGGAACUGCAUCCGAUACUGUCUGGCUAGAGUCCCGGAGAGGGUGGCGGAAUUCCCGGUGUAGGGGUGAAAUCCGUAGAUAUCGGGAGGAACACCAGUGGCGAAGGCGGCCACCUGGACGGUGACUGACGCUGAGACUCGAAAGCGUGGGUAGCAAACA
rnacentral:rRNA from 1 species